rnacentral:rRNA from 1 species
UACGUAGGGUGCGAGCGUUGUCCGGAAUUAUUGGGCGUAAAGAGCUUGUAGGCGGUUUGUCGCGUCUGCUGUGAAAAUCCGGGGCUCAACUCCGGAUCUGCGGUGGGUACGGGCAGACUAGAGUGAUGUAGGGGAGACUGGAAUUCCUGGUGUAGCGGUGAAAUGCGCAGAUAUCAGGAGGAGCACCGAUGGCGAAGGCAGGUCUCUGGGCAUUAACUGACGCUGAGGAGCGAAAGCAUGGGGAGCGAACAGG